rnacentral:rRNA from 1 species
AUGCAGGAUCAUACACAAUAAGAAGGCGGGCUGGAUACCCCCAGAGGUGCAUCGCUUCACGGCGUGCGCAGCUGGGCCGGCCUUGCUGAAUUAUUCACCCGUGUCUUUUGCGUACUUGCUGUUUCCCUGGGCGGGGCUCGCCCGGCCCGUCAGGACAAACCAUAAAACCUUUUUGGCAAAUUAAGCCAAAUCCAAGGGGUUCAGGUACCCAAUUGUUCAUUAACAUUUACAACGUUUUCAACCAACCGGGAAUUCUCCUUGGGUCCUUGGCAUUCCAUAAAAGAACCGCCAGCCGAAAAAUGCGAAUUAACGUAUGUGGUGGCAUUGGCCGGAACUUCAGGUGAAUUCAUUCGACUUCUUUGGAACCGCAACAUUAAGCGCCGCUUGGGUAAUUCGCAAGGGGCAAUGCCUCGUACAGAGCGGUCAUUUGGUACCCCUUCAAGGCUUUAGCUUGGUCGUUGGGGCGUCUUGAUCUCCCCGUUUGGCGGGAGACUCGGCCUAAAAGUCAUUGGCCGCCGGCCUACUGGUUUCGGAGCGCAGCACAAGUUGGCGCUCUCUUCCAGCCAAGGGUCAGCGUCCAGUAAGCCUUUUUUCAACCUUUGACCUCGGAUCAGUAAGGAUACCCGCUGACUUAAGCAUAUCAAUAAGCGGAGGAAAAGAAACCAACAGGGAUUGCCCUAGUAACGGCGAGUGAAGC